rnacentral:rRNA from 1 species
AGUCAGCCGUCUAAGGCAGGACAGAUGAUUAGGGUGAAGUCGUAACAAGGUAGCCGUAGGAGAACCUGCGGCUGGAUCACCUCCUUUCUAAGGAA